CCUACGGGUGGCAGCAGUGGGGAAUAUUGGACAAUGGGGGCAACCCUGAUCCAGCCAUGCCGCGUGUGUGAAGAAGGCCCUCGGGUUGUAAAGCACUUUCAGUGAGGAAGAACGCCUGGUGGUUAAUACCCAUCAGGAAAGACAUCACUCACAGAAGAAGCACCGGCUAACUCCGUGCCAGCAGCCGCGGUAAUACGGAGGGUGCGAGCGUUAAUCGGAAUUACUGGGCGUAAAGCGCGCGUAGGUGGCUUGAUAAGCCGGUUGUGAAAGCCCCGGGCUCAACCUGGGAACGGCAUCCGGAACUGUCCAGCUAGAGUGCAGGAGAGGAAGGUAGAAUUCCCGGUUUAGCGGUGAAAUGCGUAGAGAUCGGGAGGAAUACCAGUGGCGAAGGCGGCCUUCUGGACUGACACUGACACUGAGGUGCGAAAGCGUGGGUAGCAAACAGGAUUAGAUACCCCUGUAGUC
rnacentral:rRNA from 1 species